GACGAACGCUGGCGGCGUGCUUAACACAUGCAAGUCGAACGAAAAGAGGGAAAGAGCUCUCUCUUUCCGUAAUUGAGUGGCAAACGGGUGAGUAACACGUAAACAACCUGCCUGCAGGAUGGGGACAACAGACGCAAACGACUGCUAAUACCGAAUAAGUUCCAAGAGCGGCAUGGCCCAUGGAAGAAAAGUUGGCCUCUACCUGUAAGCUAUCGCCUGAGGAGGGGUUUGCGCCUGAUUAGCUGGUUGGGGGGGUCACGGCCCACCAAGGCGACGAUCAGUAGCCGGUCUGGGAGGGGGAACGGCCCCAAUGGGACUUAGACACGGGCCAGACUCCUACGGGAGGGAGCGGUGGGGAAUAUUGCGGAAAUGGGGAAAGCCUGAAGGAGCAAAGGCGCGGGAGUGAUGACAGGCUUCGGGUUGUAAAACUCUGUGUUCCGGGGAGAAAAGGCAGAGUGCGAAGAACAACCUGCAUUGACGGUACCGGAAAAGAAAGCCACGGCUAACUACGUG
rnacentral:rRNA from 1 species